AUAUAUGUAGGCAGGCCGAGCUGCCAAGAAAAGACUCUUCUCGACCUCGGCCAAAUUUAUCCUCGACCCCAAUUCCAAUUCUUCUCGACCCUGGUUCAUAACUGUUUAUCUUCGGCCAUGAGUUGUUCUUUGGUCGAAAGGAGCCGUGAGUAAACAGCAGCAAGGGAUGACGGUCAAAAGUACAUCUGAUUAGGCUGGAGAUACUUAAUUUCCUUAAUCAUUCGGCUUACGAGCCGAAGUUCAAGGAAACUGGGGGGCAAUGUUUGGACCCAAAUUUACAUCAUCGGCCCGUGUAAUCGAGACCGUAGAGUAAACAUAGUUCUCAGCCGUCGGAUGGAAAAGUGAAAAUAUUUUUGUUAAAAGAUAAUAUUAUGGUUUUUAUCAUAAUUAUCUUUUAAUUUGAAUUAUCUUGACAUAUUCUUAAACAGGAUGGAUAUGAUGCAAAUUAUAUCCUCAAGUAAGAGUGUUUGGGCUCAAAUUAACAUGUUGGGCCGAGU
rnacentral:lncRNA from 1 species